GACGAACCGUGCGAACGUUGUUCGGAAUCACUGGGCUUAAAGGGCGCGUAGGCGGGCCCGCAAGUCAGGGGUGAAAUCCCACGGCUCAACCGUGGAAGUGCCUUUGAUACUGUGGGUCUUGAGGGAGGUAGGGCGUGCGGAACUUCCGGUGGAGCGGUGAAUGCGUAGAUAUCGGAAGGAACACCGGUGGCGAAAGCGGCGCGCUGGACCUCUUCUGACGCUGAGGCGCGAAAGCCA
rnacentral:rRNA from 1 species